AUAGAAGAAUUUUUCUCUAAUUUUUGUGCUAUUUUCACAUUUCCUGACCGGUGUGAGAAAAAUAUUUCUCCUCACUAGUGAAAAAUCUGUUCUCGGCAAAUGAUUAGUCGAAAUUUGAUUAUGACGUCAAAAUGUUUUGUUUUCUUCUCAAUUUUCCUAUUGUGACGUCAUGAAAAAAGGCGACCUUGCCUGAUGACGUCGCAUAUAAAGAGCACAAUUUUC
rnacentral:lncRNA from 1 species